CUACCAGAAAUUUGCAAGGACUAGUAUAGAGUCCUGAAGUCCGAGACGCUGCGGGCCAAGGCUGCACGGAUCCGGUUCCUGAACCACUGAUUCCCGCGUGGCUGCACCUGCCCGAUUUAGGCCAGUUCUGGGAGGCUUGCUGUCCACGAACCAAUGCCAGGGAAGGGUGCCCCAGGAGUGUGUUUUUUUCAGCUGCUGCGCGGGGCACGAAAACUUCCUGGCGGGUAAAUACCGGGCGCUGGAUCCACGAGGAGACGGAGCGUUUUCUCUAUUUACGGGUGGGCGACACGUCCGUUUCCACCUUGUUGACUUUGCUCAAGCUUUCUGUCCGCUUGGAACAUCUUUCUUACCCGUAUCCUCCACGAGUGGAAAGCUGUUCUCCAAGGAAGAGCUCCUAGAUCGGCUAGCCGGAAGUCCCCUCUCUUCAGCCUCUGAACCUGCAGCUCGUGUUAGCAAAGGACACGCGUGUCACUUAUCACUUCCCACUUAAUUCUAGCUGUACGUGCCUGCCUGGUUGCCCCAGUUAGACUGUAAGCUCCAUGAGGGCAGGGUCCCAGGGUUGAUUUUGCCCUUGUAUCUCUGGCAGCAACCGCACAGAGCAGUAUGUAAAAGGAAGACAGAGUUGUGACUAAACUUUGGUAUUCGACAGCUCUUGCUUGGCCUCGUCAGUGUGUGUAUCUUGGGCAUUUCUAAGUCUCAGUUUCCUUGUCGAUAGAACGAAAGCAAUAAUACCUUUUUCAGGGUUGUUGCUAGGGUUGAAUGAGGCAAAACGGCCUCACGCGUGUUAAGCUCUCAGUACGUGUGAGCUACUGCUUUUCCGUAUGGGAGGUCAAGCAGUGUUUGUUGACUGCAUUGGUGGUGCGUGGCUGGAGUGUGGAACACACUGGGUGGCUUCAUACGGUUUUGAGAGCAGGAACUGUCCUCACAAGGGAGGGGACCCAGCCUUGGCGGCCUUCUUUUCCGCCUAUUGAAAUCAGGAGCCUGAGUCUAGGCCUUGACUCUCCGACAGGCUUUUAAAAUUUCUCUACCUAUACGCCUUCUGGCACCUUCAUGAGGCCCUGGUUGUUUUCUGGGGAAAUCUAUGCCGUCCCCAUAGAUUCUGGAAACUCUGCGCUGGUAGGGACCAUCUUCUUCCUGUGCAAUAGGCAUUCUCUCGCUGCUACCAGCCUAGCCCAGUGAGGAGCAGCGGGUGCCGCUUUGAGGGCCAUAGAAAGACCUGUGUGCAGCGCUGGCCUUGAAAACGUAGGGACCGGUUCCAGCUCAACCUUGGCUCUCCUUAUCCGGCCCCAGCUGCUCCAAGCAUUUUUUGGCAGUCAGGAUGAGGGAGCUGGAAGAGAGCCGUCUCAGCUGGAAGGGGCGGGUGAAAGGUGCAGGGAGGGUGGACAUUGCCUCCGAGCGGCGUAAGACACCGGCUGGGAGUGGGUACGAGGGUGAAGCGCUGCCACGCGGGGCCACAACGGCGACAGGAGUGGGUGCCCAAGGCUGAAGGGAGAAAGAACAGCCUGUCAGGAGGGGGGAGAGGCGGGGCUCUUCAGAAGGGAGCGGAAAUGUUGUGGAGAGGCAGCCCCUAGGUCCUCCGGGCAAGCUGGGAUGCCGCGCGGGCCACGUGCGCCCCGGAGUACUUAGGGUGGCCCACAGGCGGUGGGGAGAGACCCUCUGUGGGCAGGGUCUUGCGCCGGAACAGCCAUUCCUCAGCCACAGGGGCGCCCGGUGUCUUUCUGCUUUAAAUCCUGCAAGUAUUGACGCCCCAGGGGGAGGCCGGUGUCUGCAAACCAGGCGGUCUUAGAACUGCGAUCGGGACAAAGCGCCCCUCCAGCGCCUGAUGGUCGAUACACGCCCACAGGCGCGCUGCACCCGCCGGAGCCUGCCAGGGCCCCUCUAUCAGCUCACGCAGAGGGCCGUCUCCUUCCCACUAGCAGGCCCACGCAAGCCUCUCUACCCAAAAUUCCACCUCGGCAGCCCCGGGCUAGGUACCUUACACCAGGCCUAAGCGGUUGUCUCUUGAGGACCCUGGGCAGGUAGGCCACCAGGGCCUGUGAGGACUCCCAGCGUGGGGAACCCAGGAAAAGGGGUCUAGCGGGUGGCAUCUAGGCCUUAUCGCCCCUUCCUUUCCCCAUUUCCAGCCCAGCGCAGGGCUGAUCCAGCGUGCGGAAAACCUCUAUCCGCUACCGCAUCCCUAAGGUUGAUCUGAGUUUUAUGCCCAGAGCAGGGUUUUGGGUUGUCUCGGACUGCCCUCUCAGUGUUGUUCAGGCUUCCGUUAGUUGCUCUGGUUCCCCAGUGGCCGAGCUUCCCCACAGGAAUUCCCCCAAAGCCAAUCCCCAUCUAGGUGGCCUCCUUUUCGCUCGCAGGAAGCUGGUACUCGCGACGGCCGCGGGCCUGAAAGGAGGAGAACUCGAGAGCGGUAGUAGUACAGCAGCAGUCGCUCCGCAGGAGUCACUUAUCAGAGGGUGGGAUCUGGUUCCAACGCCUAUCCAGUUACGAUCGCCUUCUGGGGCAUUUGCAUUCUCUUGUUUGAAAAGGAGAUCUUUGAAAUCCUCGAGCUGUGCUCUACUAAUAAUAGGUUUUCGUUCCAGGCAGUUUAGCUAAUUACUAUCAGGUAAAGUAAGUGUGGUUGCAUCCAUGGAAGUGUUUGAUUUUAUUUUAAUCGAGUGUAUCUACCUUCCUACUCUUUCAUCACCUCAUACGUUUACACAAGCUCUCUCUCCCACCCUAUGAUUAAAGAUCAUCAGUAAAUGGUGGCAAAUUCCGUGAAGGGGAAGUGCUGUAUAGAUGCAUAAACGUUUGUAUCUUUUUUUUUUUUUUUUUUUUAAGAAAAACCACAUGCUAGCCAUUA